rnacentral:rRNA from 1 species
CCUACGGGUGGCUGCAGUGGGGAAUAUUGCGCAAUGGGGGAAACCCUGACGCAGCAACGCCGCGUGAGUGACGAAGGCCUUCGGGUCGUACAGCUCUGUCGGAGGGGAAGAAACUAUCUAUGGCUAACAUCCAUAGGUAUUGACGGUACCCUCAAAGGAAGCACCGGCUAACUCCGUGCCAGCAGCCGCGGUACUACGGAGGGUGCAAGCGUUGGUCGGGAUUACGUGGGGUAAAGCGCGUGUAGGCUGCGAAAGCCCUCGGCCUAACCGAGGAAGUGCGCCUGAAACUGAGUGGCUUGAGUACGAGAGAGGAGGACGGAAUUCCCAGUGUAGAGGUGAAAUUCGUAGAUAUUGGGAGGAACACCGGUGGCGAAAGCGGUUCUCUGGAUCGAUACUGACGCUAAGACGCGAAAGCGUGGGGAGCAAACAGGAUUAGAUACCCCAGUAGUC